UGUAUCUCUCCUCUCUCUCUCUUUUCUCCUUAGUUUUCUCCAUAACCAUGAAAUUCAAGCUUUCAAAGCUUGAAUCAACCCCAUAAAUUCCCCAAAAAUUCUACUAAAUUAUGAUUAAGCUUUGGUUGGGCUACUAGAAGAGGAGAUUGAAGAAGCAAGAAAGAAGAAAAAAGAGAAGAAAAUUAGUGAUUGGAAAAUCAAACAAAGUGGAAAAGAAUACCGGGACAGAACCCGAGGAGUCGAGUCAAGGCCAACAGGCGACUCGCUUGAGAUAUAGAGACUAGAGGAGCAGCAGAUUGAGCUGCUGAGGACAGGGGAGCUACCUGCUAGAAGUUAUAGGGUAUAAUUUUAUACCCUGACUGUAAAUAUUCAUUUUGAUGUAUGUAUUGCACGUAAUUGUAUGGACAUGUAAAAUCGGUCUUG